rnacentral:lncRNA from 1 species
UGUGUAGUAUACCGUCUGUACAAUGGUAAUGCUAGGUGACCCGUGAUACGUGUCCAUUCUAUGCAGCUCUGGCACGUGUGCCAUUGGAAUGCAGCCCCACAUCCUGGGGUACUGUGAAUAUUCAUGGAUAACGCGUCAUUCUGGCUCACACCUAAGCGUGUGCAUGUGUGUUUCACUUCGGUAGAAUACGUAUAUGGCAGGAGGCAGAAAUAUUUGCACAGGGUCAUGCUACCAGUUUGUGUCAGAGGUUGGACCUGAACUCAAGUGCUCCUGCAUCUUGCAUCUUGCUUACACAUAGGUGCCUAUAAGAUAAUAUGCUUUGGUCCAACAAGAAAUAGCAUUUCAAGACCUGGAACAGAGGACAAUGAAUCUUAAGUUUGAAGUUCUAUUGCCAGUGACUAAAGCCUGUGAGCACUCCUGGCCCUUGGUGCUCAGGGAAGGAGAGAACUACCAGAAGGAUACACAGAGAAGGCACCUGAGAGACCGUUUAGUACCACCAUCUUUCAAUGAGACUGUGUCUAUCUUGAACUUCUAG